CUGUAUAAAAUACAUAUGCCACAUUGCGUGAAAUAUAUGGUACGUUCACACGUAUAAUAUGUUAACGCACAUGACGGUUCCGCGAUAUGGACGUUGCGCGCUUGCCGUGUUAUAUAUCUAUGUUGCGGUCCGUUUAAAUAUUGUCUAACGACACACGUUGAUUAUAAUUUAUAUAUCAUACGACAAUGUUAGAGAUUAUUGUAAUAUUUGUCGAACGAUCGACGGUGUUACCGCUGAUGCGCUAUUUACGGCGUAAGGCGGGACGCUUUCGACUCUUCGAGUUAUCGAGAGGGUUGAUGGCGUGUGCAUGUUUUUAUUUUGUAAAAAAAAUUAAACUUGUUCAACACCGUUCACACGUCGCGAGACACAUAAAUAUUAUCAAUCUCUAUUAAACAAUUGACGUAUACACAGAGAUAUAUAAGACUUGAAUCAUCGACAGUAGGCGGACUCGACGUCCGAAGAGCGCAUCGACGCCGUCGUCGUUAUCGAUCGUUAUUAUUGUAAAAAAUGUAACGUGUCGUAGCGGUUGCGUCGUCGUAACGCUGACGGAUAUCGCGUCUGCCUCAUUUUUUUAUCGUUGGCCUCAGAUCAGGGAGGAUCACCCGCCGAAUUUAAGCAUAUUAGUAAGCGGAGGAAAAGAAACUAACUAGGAUUUCCUUAGUAGCGGCGAGCGAACAGGAAAAAAGCCCAGCACUGAAUCCCGCCGUUGUUCAGGCGGCGGGAGAUGUGGUGUUCGGGAGGUUCCGCUUUCUCGUCGCGAUCGCUCCUGUCCAAGUUCGUCUUGAACGGGGCCGUUUUCCCGUAGAGGGUGCCAGGCCCGUAGCGACGGAGGAUCGCGGCGAGAGGGACUCUCCUUAGAGUCGGGUUGCUUGAGAGUGCAGCCCUAAGUGGGUGGUAA
rnacentral:sRNA from 1 species